rnacentral:snRNA from 1 species
AGCUUUGCGCAGUGGCAGUAUCGUAGCCAAUGAGGUUUAUCCAAGAAGUGAUUAUUGCUAAUUGAAAGA